rnacentral:rRNA from 1 species
UACGGGGGGGGCAAGCGUUGUUCGGAAUUACUGGGCGUAAAGGGCUCGUAGGCGGCCAACUAAGUCAGACGUGAAAUCCCUCGGCUUAACCGGGGAACUGCGUCUGAUACUGGAUGGCUUGAAUCCGGGAGAGGGAUGCGGAAUUCCAGGUGUAGCGGUGAAAUGCGUAGAUAUCUGGAGGAACACCGGUGGCGAAGGCGGCAUCCUGGACCGGCAUUGACGCUGGGGAGCGAAAGCCAGGGGAGCAAACGGG